UACGUAGGGGGCAAGCGUUGUCCGGAAUCAUUGGGCGUAAAGAGCGUGUAGGCGGCCAGAUAAGUCCGCUGUGAAAUCUCGAGGCUCAACUUCGAGCUGUCGGUGGAAACUGUCUGGCUAGAGUCCGGAAGAGGCGAGUGGAAUUCCUGGUGUAGCGGUGAAAUGCGCAGAUAUCAGGAGGAACACCUAUUGCGAAGGCAGCUCGCUGGGACGUAACUGACGCUGAGACGCGAAAGCGUGGGGAGCAAACAGG
rnacentral:rRNA from 1 species